AUUGAACGCUAGCGGGAUGCUUUACACAUGCAAGUCGAACGAGUGGCGGACGGGUGAGUAAUAUCUCGGAACGUGCCCAGUAGCGGGGGAUAACUACUCGAAAGAGUGGCUAAUACCGCAUACUAUUGGAUCGGCCGAUAUCGGAUUAGCUAGUAGGUGGGGUAAUGGCUCACCUAGGCGACGCUCCCGAGCUGGUCUGAGAGGAUGAUCAGCCACACUGGAACUGAGACACGGUCCAGACUCCUACGGGAGGCAGCAGUGGGGAAUAUUGCACAAUGGGCGCAAGCCUGACGCAGCCAUGCCGCGUGUAUGAAGAAGGCCCUAGGGUUGUAAAGUACUUUCAGUCGGGAGGCGUUACCGACAGAAGAAGCACCGGCUAACUCCGUGCCAGCAGCCGCGGUAAUUC
rnacentral:rRNA from 1 species